rnacentral:lncRNA from 10 species
UCUUGUGUCUUGUCUAUAGGAAGGGAGUGUAUCCUGGUGUAUGACAGCAUAUAGUAGAGACCACUGUCAAUUAGGGCCUGUGAACUGAGACAGGGUGACUGGCUAAGUCCACAACCCAUUAGAAACCCAGAAAUAAUCAAAUCAUGGAGAGAUUAGACCAGGGACAAUAAAUAUGGAUUAGGCAAGAAUGUGUUAACUCAGCAGGCCAGGGUUUCUUCAACCCUGCACAUUCAAAGAGGGAUCAUGGAAAGGAAGCUGAAUUUGCCGAGUUUUGCCACGUGGGCAUUGCAUGCCUAUGUGAUUAACCACCAAUAAAAACCUGGGACAUCAAAUAAUAAAUAAGCUGCUCUAAUUGCCAAGAAUUCACAUGUGGUUGUAUGCAGCAUUACUGGGAGAUUGAAGUGUAUCUGCAUGUGAUUCUACUGUGAUGGACACUUGUAAGUUUGUGCCUGGAGUCUCCUGGACUUUGCCCUGAGAAUCUUUUUCCUUUGUUGAUAUGACUCUGCAUCCUUUUGUUUUAAUAAACUGUAAACAUGAGUAUAAUUGCUUCUCUGAGUUCUGAGAGUUUUUUAAAUAAAUAAUCAAAGCUGAAGAGCAAUGGAAACCCCCACCAAAACAUCUUUAAACAUUUCAAUUUUGUAUUGAAGUAAAUUUUAUUUUCUUUUUUAUACCUCCC